UGUAGCUCAGUGGUAGAGCACUUGCCUAGUAUGCAUGAGCUCCUGGGCUCAAUCCCUAGUA
rnacentral:tRNA from 1 species